CCAUGGCCCGGUUUGAUAAGUAAAACUCUCGACUCUUCUUUUUCUUAUCUCAACUCUCCUAUUUCUCUUUCUUGAUUACAGCAGAUGAUUAGCUUCUAUUCGUUCAGUUCUGCAGCAAAUGGAAUUAAACCCAAUCGAUGAAACCAUUUGCUACAGAAAAGUUUUGAAAUACCAAAAUUGUUUCUCGUUUCUUUCAGGUGCUUCUAGUUUAGCUAAUAGAUAUGUUUGGAAUUCGGAAGAUUGAUACUGCUAAAAAGAUUAUGGUCACGUAGCAAUUGGGAUUGUUGUUUGUUCAGAUUGAUAGCUUUGUGUUCAACAUUUUGCUUAUUGCUUUUAAUUUUCAAAUUAGUAUUGUUUGGAUCCUUGUUAAUGAAUGACAAGGAGUGGGGAGUGUUUCUUUUUUUUUUUUGAUUGGCUGAGUACCUGUUUUUAAUGAACGAGAAGUGAGAACUAGACAUAGCUGGUUCACUUAUUCAAGACAUUGAAAAUUUGUUAAUCGGUGGUAGAAGUUCUACCGUAA